GAUCAUGGCUCAGGACGAACGCUGGCGGCGUGCUUAACACAUGCAAGUCGAACGAAGAACGAUGGAAGCUUGCUUCUAUCAAUCUUAGUGGCGAACGGGUGAGUAACGCGUAAUCAACCUGCCCUUCAGAGGGGGGACAACAGUUGGAAACGACUGCUAAUACCGCAUACGAUCCAAUCUCGGCAUCGAGACUGGAUGAAAGGUGGCCUCUAUUUAUAAGCUAUCACUGAAGG
rnacentral:rRNA from 1 species